CUGUCAUAUUUGGGAACUGGUUUAUGACUUCCAUAUUCAAACCCCUUUCUUCAGAUGCUUUGGAGGACUUGAAGUGAUGCAGGGUCCAUGAUAAGGAUGUACAUGUCAUCUAAUAUUGAUUGGCAAAUGCAAGCAUCUACGAUUGGUUUGAUUUACUACUGUUCUUGAAAAGAGAGAGGGAAUGAUCAAAAUUUGCGUGUAAAGAAGUAAUAAAGCCAUAAAGAGGAAAAAAUGAAGAUAAGUACACAAAUCCUCCUUUCUUCGAAAAUUCAUACUUUCCAGAAGGAACAGAUUACUGAUGGAAUGAAGCAAAAGGCAAGUAAAGUAGCACAGGUAAUCCUUACUAUUCAGAAUUUUACUACCAUUUUGAUAAUUUUUCAAAUGCUUCUAAGACAAGAUAUAGUGAAUUUCUUGGAAACUGGCAAAGGGUUGGAUGAUUAGUGCUCUCCUUGGAAUGAAAAUGAUGGAAAUGACAUUACUAGCUAAAAAAGGUCUCUUUCUUGAAUCAGAUCUUGCAUCCAUUAUUGCUGCUGCCUUCUGAUAGGCUUCACUUUUUAAGACAAUCAUUUUAAUUAUUUCUUACAUUAUAUGUUUAAAUUGGAUAAAGUUUGAUGAGUAGUUCUGUAUAAUGAGUAUGCUUUGGAGGUAGAUGAAGUUGGAGGAUCUGGAUGAGUCUUUUCCUGAAGAAGGUACAAAGAGGACGUCUCCUUCACUGAUUACAUCACUUCUAAGUGAUUCUUGAGGCAGCAUCCUCCCCUCUCCUCCAGCAACCAGAAAU